GAUGAACGCUGGCGGCGUGCUUAACACAUGCAAGUCGAACGGAGUGGCCUUUGAAAGGAGGAUUCGUCCAAUUGAUAAGGUUACUUAGGUGGCGGACGGGUGAGUAACGCGUGAGGAACCUGCCUUGGGAGUCGGGGGAAUAAACACAGUGAAAAUUGUGCUAAUACCGCGACUAAUGCGAGUUGGGCCGCAUGGCUCUGACUGCCAAAGAUUUAUCGCUCUGAGA
rnacentral:rRNA from 1 species